rnacentral:rRNA from 1 species
CUGCCGCGUGUAUGAAAAAGGCCUUCGGGUUGUAAAGUACUUUCAGCGGGGAGGAAGGGAGUAAAGUUAAUACCUUUGCUCAUUGACGUUACCCGCAAAAAAAGCACCGGCUAACUCCGUGCCAGCAGCCGCGGUAAUACGGAGGGUGCAAGCGUUAAUCGGAAUUACUGGGCGUAAAGCGCACGCAGGCGGUUUGUUAAGUCAAAUGUGAAAUCCCCGGGCUCAACCUGGGAACUGCAUCUGAUACUGGCAAGCUUGAGUCUCGUAGAGGGGGGUAGAAUUCCAGGUGUAGCGGUGAAAUGCGUAAAGAUCUGGAGGAAUACCGGUGGCGAAGGCGGCCCCCUGGACAAAAACUGACGCUCAGGUGCGAAAGCGUGGGGAGCAAACAGGAUUAAAUACCCUGGUAGUCCACGCCGUAAACGAUGUCGACUUGGAGGUUGUGCCCUUGAGGCGUGGCUUCCGGAGCUAACGCGUUAAGUCGACCGCCUGGGGAGUACGGCCGCAAGGUUAAAACUCAAAUGAAUUGACGGGGGCCCGCACAAG